AAGUAGGGGAGACCGGGGAUAGUUGACUAUAGGGGUAGGUAGACUAACCGCCAAAAACUCGCCAAUGGUUUGAGUGUUGUGUGAUCCCAGCGCAGCCGUGUAUCACUCUCCGCCCCCUGCUCAGUCGUCGGUAACGCCGCGUCGCCGGCACACGCCGUUUUCGAGUAGUGACCCGUGAUUUGUUUUCAUAUCAUCACGAUGAGGAUCUAUAAACGAACGACUGAACGAUGAAGAAAUAAGACCCUUUCCUAAAGCGGCGCCACGUUUAGA